UGUUCCUUAUAAGCUCUACUCCCUCUGUUACGUAUUACUUGUCGUGGAUUCGGACGAAUCUACACACAAAAUGCGUCUAGAUACAUCCAAAUCAGAGACAACUAAUGUGGAAUGGAUGGAAUAGUUUGUAUGGUCAAUUACUGUCUUCUCUGAUCAAAUUGGGUUAUUUCUUCAGGAAAGGACAAGGCUGAUAGCCGUGGCACAUCAAAAGCAUGCUAAGACUUGCAUGGAGGAAAAUGACAACAGCCGCAAACGCUGCUGUGUGAGUUGAAACAUGAUUUGAAAAGAAUAAACACAGAGGUAAAGGAGGCGACGGCUCUUCUGGCUCCCUGCCAGAUACCAUGUCGCCUCACAAGCAUGGUCAUUUCCUGAAUAUAUAUGUCAUUUACAUGAUGUUACCAGGUUUUGAGUUUACAUGGUCAUGUGCUGAAUAUAUCAUGUACAUAAUCACGUUCUCAAGAUAUAACAUUGGAUUGGGCCU